CCUACGGGAGGCAGCAGUGAGGAAUAUUGGUCAAUGGACGAGAGUCUGAACCAGCCAAGUAGCGUGAAGGAUGACUGCCCUAUGGGUUGUAAACUUCUUUUAUAUGGGAAUAAAAUGUUCCACGUGUGGGAUUUUGUAUGUACCAUAUGAAUAAGGAUCGGCUAACUCCGUGCCAGCAGCCGCGGUAAUACGGAGGAUCCGAGCGUUAUCCGGAUUUAUUGGGUUUAAAGGGAGCGUAGGUGGAUUGUUAAGUCAGUUGUGAAAGUUUGCGGCUCAACCGUAAAAUUGCAGUUGAAGCUGGCAGUCUUGAGUACAGUAGAGGUGGGCGGAAGUCGUGGUGUAGCGGUGAAAUGCUUAGAUAUCACGAAGAACUCCGAUUGCGAAGGCAGUUCACUGGACUGCAACUGACACUGAGGCUCGAAAGUGUGGGUAUCAAACAGGAUUAGAUACCCCAGUAGUC
rnacentral:rRNA from 1 species